UACGAAGGGGACUAGCGUUGUUCGGAAUUACUGGGCGUAAAGCGCACGUAGGCGGAUUUGUAAGUCAGGGGUGAAAUCCCGGGGCUCAACCUCGGAACUGCCUUUGAUACUGCAAAUCUCGAGUCCGAUAGAGGUGGGUGGAAUUCCUAGUGUAGAGGUGAAAUUCGUGGAUAUUAGGAAGAACACCGGUGGCGAAGGCGGCCCACUGGAUCGGUACUGACGCUGAGGUGCGAAAGCGUGGGGAGCAAACAGG
rnacentral:rRNA from 1 species